CCCUUGCUUGUCUCAAAGAUUAAGCCAUGCAUGUCUAAGUAUGAAUGUUAUACAGUGAAACUGCGAAUGGCUCAUUAAAACAGUUAUUGUUUAUUUGAUAAUCAAAUUUACAUGGAUAACCGUGGUAAUUCUAGAGCUAAUACAUGCUGAUAUGCCUGACUCUUAGGAAGGGCUGUAUUUAUUAGAUAACAAACCAAUAUUCCUCGUGUCUAUUGUGAUGACUCAUAAUAACUGAUCGAAUCGCAUGGACUUUGUCCGCGAUACAUCAUUCAAGUUUCUGCCCCAUCAGCUUUCGAUGGUAGUGUAUUGGACUACCAUGGCUUUAACGGGUAACGGAGGAUUAGGGUUCGAUUCCGGAGAGGGAGCCUGAGAAACGGCUACCACAUCUAAGGAAGGCAGCAGGCGCGUAAAUUACCCAAUCCUAAUUCAGGGAGGUAGUGACAAGAAAUAACGGACUGAGGCCUACGCUUCAGGAUUGCAAUGAGUAGAAUUAAACCCCUUGCGA
rnacentral:rRNA from 1 species